GGGGCUGAAUUGCUUCGACAUUUGGACAUUUACAAGUUGGUGUAAGCAGGCCGGAUUGUCUGAACGUUAUCCGGACAAACUAAAUAGAUGCAGAAUCUCUGAAAUCUAUCGCACAGCAAGUAGCUAGCGCUUUCGCGCCUAAGCUUGCUAUGCAAGCUGCCUAAUUUUAGUCAGCGGCUGAUAAUUCGACAUCAGAUAGAAUGACCCAGUCUUAUAUUUUUCUGAUCGCUCAUAUACUGUGAUCCAUAGUAUUUGCUAAGAUUUAGGAUUGCAGCGGUUCAUGUUUUUGCUAAUUUCAAUCAUGAGCAGCUUAAGAAACCAAGUAGAUUAGAUAAGCCUGUAGAAAGCCAAUAAGUAACCGAAUGGACGCGGGAUCAUACCCGCCAGCUCCACCA
rnacentral:tmRNA from 1 species